CAGUCGCCACGGUAAAACGGAGGGUGCAAGCGCUAAUCGGAAUUACUGGGCGUAAAGCGUGUGUAGGUGGUUGUUUAAGUCUGUCGUGAAAGCCCUGGGCUCAACCUGGGAAUUGCGAUGGAUACUGGGCGACUAGAGUGCGGUAGAGGAUAGUGGAAUUUCCGGUGUAGCAGUGAAAUGCGUAGAGAUCGGAAGGAACAUCUGUGGCGAAGGCGACUAUCUGGGCCAACACUGACACUGAGACACGAAAGCGUGGGGAGCAAACAGGAUUAGAUACCCCGGUAGUCCCUGUCUCUUAUAC
rnacentral:rRNA from 1 species